CCCUGCCCUGUUUCCCUCUCUUCCUGCCUUGACUCUGGCCACGCCUCCUCCCUGAUCCUCUGUCACCUGCAGCCUGGACCGGUCCACUCAUUCCACUCACCUGUGCCUCGGCUCUGCUUAAAUACGCCGCCUCAUUCAUGCUCAUUUUUGAUGGUGGAAAUUGGUGGAUUUCGGUGAAUGACUUAAGUAAAUAAGAAGCAACAAGCGCGGCUCAACCAGGCGGCAUGUUGACACCAGAGCGACCACAUCUUCAUACCUGACCAAUCCACCUGCAGCAGCUAAUGGAUGAACCCUCUGACGACACCUCUGCCUCCUCCCUCUCCAUCAGCUCCAACACCUGCCGUGGACUCCCUGCAGCUCCUCUCCUCUUUGGACUCCUCAGCUCCUGAUCUGAGCUUCAUAGGUCCAGUUUCAACUCUGAGCUCCAGCAAUAAAUACUGCCUGUUCUGCAACUAGUCUCUGGGUCUGAAUCUGCUCACUCACAGUUUGGUUCACAGCCAUGUUUUAACAGGUUGUGAUGCAAUCAAUCACAUUCAUCUUUCAAAAUCAACAUAAAUGUAACGUUGAUGAAUGACCAUGAAUCAGCGUAAAUGUAACGUUGAUGAUCAAACAUAAUGCAACAU